AAACCACGUUCACGACCCUGCUCUGUUCCGAUUGUGCCGCCUGACAUGCCCUCGGAUUGCAUUGGCGGCUGCCUGCCGACGCGAGCGGCGCGGCGGAUGGGAGCGACCGCGUGCGAGGCGCGUAGUGGAGCAGCGCAGAAUGGAGAGGAGCGGCCGGUGUGCGUUGGUUGAUUGGAUCCACCGAGCUGUGCGGGAGAGAUGGGAUGGGAUGCGUCCGCCGUCCCCAGAUCGAUCCAUCAUUGUCCCUCCUGAAAAAAUUUGCUCAACGCGAGGGGGGAAGGGGAUCCGCCGCCGCAGGCUAUUCUGAUCGACGCCAUGGCUGCUCGUUCAAGCAAAAGUGCUCCGGUGAAGUUGUGCCGCCACUGGCACUGCCACUAGAACCACUACCGCUCGAGGUCGAUGGAUCUCUGAGGCAACCCCAUGGCCCGAUCCAAACGGGGCGGCUGGACUGCCUGCGCGGCGGUGGACGACGUUGCCCAGACCAACAACAUCGUCCAGCGCCUCAACGACUUCUCCUCCAUUGCGCACAUCCCUAGGAUGGGCCUCAAGGUCGUGCCGAUGAUCGCGGCCUUCUCCAACCUCCACACAGUCAACCUCUCUGGUGCCGAUGAUGAAAUAAUUUCUGCCAUCGCUGCAUUACUACAUCCUCCGAUUGCUCAUAUAUCAUUCUGUGAAUUGCCCUGCUCGUUCUCUCGAAGGUUCUAUAUCCCAGAGUGUAUGUAUCAGUCGGAACUGAGAAUUUGCUCCUGGAUAGGUACAAUUGUUUUCCAGUACCUACAUCUUAUAUCUAUGCACCAUUGAGGAUCUGAAAUCAGUUGUCCAGUUUGUCCCUCAAAGAAUGUAGUCAGUCCUAUUCCUAUGGUGUAUAAGGACAUUUGUUUCGUAUACAUGAUUUCCCAGCAGCAAUUUAUACACAAGCUAACUCCAAAGAGACGACUGAUCAGGCUAAUCGCAAAGCUAUUCAGGGAGUAAAGGGGUAGUACUAGAAGAGGAAAAAACGUAUACAGUGUCAGCCUAUAAGAACAUUAGUUGUCCUGUUUACUUUCGUCAAUGAACAACAAAGAUUUCACUGCCAGAAAAAAAAGAUAUGGAUUAGUAUCCCUCUGGACAAAUAAGAAAAUGCUACCGCUUCAAGGAUUUCAGUCAUCCUUGCGGCUUUAGGAACUAUAUAACAACAGCGUCCAUAUGUAUUUUUAUACAAUUUUUUCUUCUGUAGUUAAGAUUUUCUUGUGCAAAGUAUCUAAUAUCAAUCAUGUACAUCUUUUUGGCCAUGCUUAUACCUUGAAAUAAUAGAGCCAUUUUAUUGAAAAUUCACUCAUGAUUUUACUCUUUUUUCUGAAUAAGUUUAACUGUGUUAGUCGUACAAUUCGCCGGGAGCAAGACCAAAUUCAACAAGGCAAUAAAACAAAGCGUGGAGCACCUAAAGAACAUCCAAUAUUCCCAGAGCAUACGAGGAGAUCGCUGUCGAAGGGUCUGCACUCACUGGAUAUGUCGUGGAAUAAGAUCACAAAUGUCGAGGGGCUCUGGGAACUGAUGAACCUACGCGUGCUCAACCUCAUCUACAACUGGAUUUCAUGCACCGGACUGGGUACAUACUUGGAGAUAACAUGAUGGUAAGAAGGCAAGAAGUAGGUACAUGUAUGAGUGGGUUUCUGGAGUCUCAAGGGGCACAUAUGAAGUAUCCACACGAAAGCAUGUUGGGUACCUGAGGGCUUGUAUCAGUGCCCAGCAUGACGGCGAACUAUUCUCUGAAAAAAUUGCUAAUGAAUCUCUGUUCAAUGGGGCUACAUUCCUUCUAAACUUCUGUGGCGUUAUCAACACGAUCUUAAAGUGCAGGGUGUGUGCGCACAUAUAACACUUAGCAGAUUAUUGUGAAUCUUAAGGAAGGAGCACAUCUCAAUGCUGUCUGUAAGCAUUUUGUGCUCUUAUCAUGGUGUUGAUAGUUGUCAGGAAAACAAAGAUCUUAAGUCAAGUAAGGUAGUAGUAUGUAUGCGUCUUCAGUCACUAUUGUUGCGGCAUGUUUGAAGGUAAAAGUAGCAGCCUGAUGCCAUGUAUAGUAAGGUUAAGAUACUUAUUUUGAGAUGGAGGGAGUACAACACUUCAAAAUGAAGGGUUUUCCAGCUGUUCUUUUGUCACUUAACCAGGAGUAGCUGGAGAUGCAAAUCAAGCAAAUUGCAUAUUGUAAGGUUUGCUCCUUCAAGUAGCUACACAUAUAUUGUCUUAGUUAAGUAAAUUCUCAAAUGAGUGUUUGCUGAAAUUCUCAUGUAGAUUUAAAUAUUGGCUUUGAAUCAUGUUUCAAAAACCAGGAUAUAUGCAGCCUUGAAAGAGAUCAUGAGAACCUGCAAGGGCAUUAUUCAACGUUCUAAAUAUUGCAUAUCAUAUAGUUGCGUGAGGCCCUUGAAUCUUGAGUUCCUUUUGCUCAAAGUUGGGGAAUUUGUGAGGCCAUUUUGGAUGCUAUGUGUUUGUGGUGUAUAUUUUGUAUAGUGAUUGGUCUUACUACUCAAGCAGACAUAUUUAGUCUCCUAUGUCUAUUGUUUAUUGUUCUUUUAUGAACAAGUAUAUUGAUCAGUGCUAUGUUCUCUUAAAUGAGAAAGAGUUCAAUUCAUUAAUGUUCUUAAAAGACAAAAACUUGUUUAGUAUUUAAUUUUUCAUAUAU